AGUUGUGGGGCGGCCGCUACAAAGUCACCUUCUUGGAUUCUCAGUGGUUUGCAGAUUCCCUGUGUUUUUGCAGAUUCCCGCAAAGUCCUCACCGGCCCGACCGAUACACCUGAAAUCGAUCGAGACAACACCUGCGACUCCAGGUGAUCCAGUGUGCCGCUGGACAUCUUUCGUUCAGGGUCCACAGAGAUUUGGGGUGCUGUGUGACUGGGAGAAGGACGAGGCUGUAAGAAAGGCCACAAAAUAAUGGUCCGUUUGUAUGUGUGAACCACACUCUUCGUCUAGUAUGUUGUCUGUAUACAUGCUUUUCUUUCUACUUUGGAAUCCUUUUCUCCAUUUUCUGGAGAAAACAUUUUUCAAGGCUGUUACCAUUGAUCGCGCUUUAUCGUGAUUGGUUUCCUCUACAAGACUUUGGAACUCCAUGAGUGCCUGAGAGUUCCACUUUCUGACUUCACCAGCACUGGAUAGGGCCUCCUCCCGGAGUGGCUCAGCUAGCCAAUUGGCAUCAGAAGAGCACCGUUUGGAAGGGAGUGUGUGUGGGCAGCC